rnacentral:misc_RNA from 1 species
AUGCCAUUGUAAGGGGUGAAGAAAUGAUCUUUUCGGAGAUGGUGGCGAUAUCUUCCAGUGAGAUUUCAUCAAUUAUUUUCAGGAAGUGUUCAACAGGCUUCCUCUCUCCAUAUGUCAAAAUCUGCCGUCCAAUAUCCUCGGAUGCUACCAUUCUCGAUUCCAGGUUCAUAAGAAUAGCUGACUUGGAAGUCGCUUUAGCACGAUCUAGUUGUUUUUGGUGAACUUGUCCAGGCUCAGCAAGUAAAUGAAGUUCUCUUACUGCCAAAUCAACAGCUUCGCCAACAAAAUCUGAACCAGU